GGAUGUUUGGAAACACAGGAAGUUUUAAAAAUAAAUAUAUAUAUAUAAAUAUAUAUAUAUAUUUAUAUAUAAAUAUAUAUACUGUCCAGGUGAGUGCAGCAAUAAACAGGUGAGUUAAGCAGGGGGUUAAAUAUGGGGGUUAAAUGAUGCAACUCCUGCAAAGCCUGGACUCUGACAGCCAAAAUGACCCUUUUUACAUAAAUCCUCGUGCCUAUUUCAAUGAGCUGCAGUGACCAGUGACUGGCCUUUCCCUUGCAGUACCUGAGGGUGAUGCCCCCGGCAGGACAGUGCUAUGAAGAGGGGCCUUUCCUGCCCACGACCCCCAGGUUUGCUGUCCAGGUGGGAAUGGCCAGGAAAAGGGAGCUCCUCCUCAAACCUGACUGGGCAGCAAUUGCUGGAGUGGGCACAGGACUCCUCCUGCUGCUCAUUGCCUCUGUGGCACUGACAGUAAGUGAGAGUUACUUAAAAUUUGGGUUUUUUAAAGGAUAUUAUAAGACUUUAGGCAAGAAGCCCACAAGUGACUCCUCCCCUAAGCAUCACCUAUAAAGCUGAAAAUUAGAAUUACUUGUAACUCAACCUCCUGUUUUACAUAUGGGGUAAAAUCCAUCCCUAUGGAUUGACCCAGUGCCAUCAAAGCCCCGGGAUAUUUACCUCUCACACGGGCCACUGGGAGACAUUCAGGGUAUAAAUGAACUUCAUUCCCAUUUUCUGAUUCAUCAACAAGAUGACACUUAAAUUUUUUUUGUUUAAAUGCCUGACCAAACCUGCCUCAAAAUAAAGAAAACAUAAAUAAGUCCUGAAAAGCUUUUACAAAAAAAACUGUCAGCCAUAAAUAAGUUUCUGCAACGUUCAGGUUUGCUUUCCUUAUUCAGACAGAAGUCCCAGCAACCACAAAAUACCUGAGAUUCAAACCCCAGAUGGUCUUUCAGACUGGUAACCCCCCAAAGUAAUUCAUUUUUUUUCCUAGCAUGUUCUGAAUUCAACAGGAUAUUUUUUUUUUCUGCAGCCAGACUGCUGAGGUAAUGAGAGAAAAUGUGAUUUAUUCAGCCAGCAGAUGCAAACAGCAGAUAACUGCACUUCCUUCCCCUUGGCUUCAGCCUUAUCUGCUGGGAUUAGUAAUUCUGCUGGUCUAGAAUAAAUGAAUGAUAUAUUUAGAAACCAGACUCUGGGGGUCCCUGCUCGCCAGGUGAGGAUGGAUCCUGCUGGCUGAGUGAGGGAUAUGUGGAUCACACCCUGCCAGGGCGUGUCCCGAGAGGAAAAGGAACUCACUUGUUCCAUUCUGGGGUGUUUUGCAGCUCCUGUGCCAGGCCGUUGGCUGGUCCCAGGGGGGCAGCCCCUGCCCUGCAUUCCGAAGGCAGCAGCUCCAGUACAACCUGGACAGCUACUCCUCUGAGAUUCCAGGAGUCUUUUCCAUCAGGAAACGUCACCCCUCGCUGCAGCAGCAGGGCAGGGGGGCUGGGGAAUCCUGCAGCAGCCCUGGGACAGCCUGUUUCCCGAGGAGAGGGGCUGGCUGGGAGCCUGAGGAACAGCUCGACCUGGAGUCCUUUAACACCAGUGCCUUCUUUGAGCUGCUGCUGAGACAGUCCCUGUCUGUCACAGCCACUCUGGGCCACUUCAAAGAAGAGGUAAAAAUCCUGUAUCAGAGGCUCACGAGUGAAAUGUCUGCACUGAAAAACCUUUGGAUGGAGACUCUGAGUAUCCCAGGGAAGGUGGAGGCUGAGAGCACAGAGGGUUAUGCAAAGGCAAAGCAGCAGGCAGAGGAGGAGAUGCAGCGGAGGAAGGAGUUGGCUGCUGGGUACGAGGAGAGCCUGAGCAGGCAGAGGAGGUUGUUGCAGCAGGAGCUGCAGUGGCAGGAGGAGAACUGUGUCCUGUUCAACUCUGCCCUGAGGGAGGGGGUCAGGCUGGCACAGGCACUCACGGAGGGAGCAGCUCCUGGAGAACGACCACGAGGCUGCACAAGGUACCCAACAAAAGGCAAAGUUACCUGCAGCUCUCCUGCCCUGGCCAGGGAAGCAUUCCCAGCCCACAGGUUUUUGGCCUGUGGUUGGCAAUGCCAACACCUGCAAGUUUAAAACUGAUCCUCAGUCCAGCAGAUCAGGUGGUGCAGAUCAUAAUUUUCACAUUUAGGAGA